CUCUGCGAGAAGUCCAUUGAACCUUAUCAUUUAGAGGAAGGAGAAGUCGUAACAAGGUUUCCGUAGGUGAACCUGCGGAAGGAUCAUUGUCGAGAUCGAAAGGAUAUAUCGAGUGAUUCGGAGAACUCGUGAAUAAAAGUGGCGGCAGUUGCUGUCGUAGAAUAUUCGUCCUGAUAGUUGCCUCAUAUCCUUUGGGGGGAGGGGCCGCGAUGAAGGGCGGAUGAAAAAACUCAAAUCGGCGCAAUUUCGCGUCAAGGGAAUAUCGAAAUACAUGAGCCCAUGAUCGGGCACAGUGGUAUGGAGUGCUGUUGCACAUCCUAUAUAUUGACAUGACUCUCGGCAAUGGAUAUCUCGGCUCUCGCAUCGAUGAAGAGCGCAGCGAAAUGCGAUACGUGGUGCGAAUUGCAGAAUCCCGCGAACCAUCGAGUCUUUGAACGCAAGUUGCGCCCGAGGUCAACCGGCCAAGGGCACGUCUGCCUGGGCGUCAAGCGUUGCAUCGCUCUGUGCCAACUCCACCCCGUUAAUCGGUGUUUUGGAUGAGGCUCGGAUGUGCAGAGUGGCUCAUCGUGUCCAUCGGCACGGUGGGUUGAAGAGCGGGUUAUCAUCUCAUUGGCCACGAACAACAAGGGGUGGAUAAAAGCUAUGAGCAAAGCCUAUAUGUUGUCUCGUGUUGCCCUGAGAAAAGAUUGUAUACCUUCGAGGCGAUCCCAACCCAUGCGUCGAUUCACUUGCGACGGCUUGGAAUGCGACCCCAGGAUGGGCGAGACCACCCGCUGAGUUUAAGCAUAUCAA
rnacentral:rRNA from 1 species